rnacentral:lncRNA from 1 species
AGGAUGGGAUAGGUAAUCAGGGUUGUUGUGCUUCGCCUCAUAGUCCCCUAGCAAAAAACAUGCACUUAGAUCAUCAAAUCCGCUAGAAUGGCUGCAAAUAUUUACACAUGAAAGACACACUGCAAAAAAUACAAAACCACCAGCCACUAAGAUCAUCUAGCAGAAAAAAACAAAACAAGGAAAAUGGUUCAACACCGGC